AACGAACGCUGGCGGCAGGCUUAACACAUGCAAGUCGAGCGGGGGAGGUUGCUUCGGUAACUGACCUAGCGGCGGACGGGUGAGUAAUACUUAGGAAUCUGCCUAUUAAUGGGGGACAACAUCUCGAAAGGGAUGCUAAUACCGCAUACGCCCUACGGGGGAAAGCAGGGGAUCACUUGUGACCUUGCGUUAAUAGAUGAGCCUAAGUCGGAUUAGCCAGUUGGUGGGGUAAAGGCCUACCAAGGCGACGAUCUGUAGCGGGUCUGAGAGGAUGAUCCGCCCCACUGGGACUGAGACACGGCCCAGACUCCUACGGGAGGCAGCAGUGGGGAAUAUUGGACAAUGGGGGGAACCCUGAUCCAGCCAUGCCGCGUGUGUGAAGAAGGCCUUAUGGUUGUAAAGCACUUUAAGCGAGGAGGAGGCUCUUUUGGUUAAUACCCAAGAUGAGUGGACGUUACUCGCAGAAUAAGCACCGGCUAACUCUGUGCCAGCCGCCGCCGUAAUAC
rnacentral:rRNA from 1 species